GACGUAGGGGGCGAGCGUUGUCCGGAUUUAUUGGGCGUAAAGAGCUCGUAGGCGGCUUGUCGCGUCGUCCGUGAAAACCAGGGGCUCAACCCCUGGCUUGCGGUCGAUACGGGCAGGCUAGAGUUCGGUAGGGGAGACUGGAAUUCCUGGUGUAGCGGUGAAAUGCGCAGAUAUCAGGAGGAACACCGGUGGCGAAGGCGGGUCUCUGGGCCGAUACUGACGCUGAGGAGCGAAAGCGUGGGGAGCAACAGG
rnacentral:rRNA from 1 species